AAUUUUGCAUUGAUAAGGACAAGAUAGUCUGUAAGGCGUAUCAUUAGAGAGGGAAACCAUAGCUGAAAGUUUCCUGUAUGACCACAUUCUAUUACCACCUUUGAGCACUGCUAUGGAACACUUAUGUAAGUAAUUAGCAGCGAUUCGUCAACGUUAUCGACUUUUCAAUGAGCUGCACGUUACGUGUAGAAAAUUGGGUGGAACCACGGGUAUAACGCUCGUCCCUUUA
rnacentral:ncRNA from 1 species